AUUGAACGCUGGCGGCAGGCCUAACACAUGCAAGUCGAGCGAGCGGCGGACGGGUGAGUAAUGUCUGUGAAACUGCCUGAUGGAGGGGGAUAACUACUGGAAACGGUAGCUAAUACCGCAUACCAUCAGAUUUGACCAGAUGGGAUUAGCUAGUAGGUGGGGUAACGGCUCACCUAGGCGACGAUCCCUAGCUGGUCUGAGAGGAUGACCAGCCACACUGGAACUGGGACACGGUCAAGACUCUUACGGGAGGCAGAAGGGGGGAAUAUUGCACAAUGGGGGAAAGCCUGAUGCAGCCAGGCCGCGGGUGUGAAGAAGGCCUUCGGGUUGUAAAGCACUUUCAGCGGGGAGGCGUUACCCGCAGAAGAAGCACCGGCUAACUCCGUGCCAGCAGCCGCGGUAAUUC
rnacentral:rRNA from 1 species